GUUAUGCUCUGUUCAAGUUUUCAAACUCAGGUCAAUAGAACUCAGUUAUCUGUUGUGGGUAAUAGGCGAAGGAUGACAACAUAUGGACUCAUGUGACCACUUAACAAUAAAUUUAAACAAAUUUGGAUGCAUUCAAGGAAGGAUGAGAAAAUACCUUUGUCUAUCAUUUAGGGUUAGAGCAAGUUUCAGACUUGCUGAUGAAAGUGGUGGGAUGUAAGGAACACGUCCAACCUCUUGUUUACAAAUAGCUCAAAGUUCUCCGGUCAGUUCCCCGGAUUUUGACUCGAUAUGGAUGGGUUUUCGGUUGUAAGAUCGACACAAAAUUUGGGAAAAAUGGUGUGAAAUGUAGUCUUUCUAUUUACCCAGUGGUCGGAGUUGCGUCGGAGAUGGAUUGAAAAUUAGCGAUGGGUGGGUUUGGCAGUGGCGCGAGUCGACGCAAAGUAGGGUUAAAAUGGUAGAAUGAAUUCCCA
rnacentral:lncRNA from 1 species